rnacentral:rRNA from 1 species
UUACACAUGCAAGUCGAGGGGUAGUAUAGCAAUAUAUGAGACCGGCGCACGGGUGCGUAACGCGUAUGCAAUCUACCUUUUACAGAGGGAUAGCCCAGAGAAAUUUGGAUUAAUACCUCAUAGUAUAACGACCUGGCAUCAGGAUGUUAUUAAAGUCACAACGGUAAAAGAUGAGCAUGCGUCCCAUUAGCUAGUUGGUAAGGUAACGGCUUACCAAGGCAACGAUGGGUAGGGGUCCUGAGAGGGAGAUCCCCCACACUGGUACUGAGACACGGACCAGACUCCUACGGGAGGCAGCAGUGAGGAAUAUUGGUCAAUGGGCGCAAGCCUGAACCAGCCAUGCCGCGUGCAGGAUGACGGUCCUAUGGAUUGUAAACUGCUUUUGCACAGGAAGAAACACUACCUCGUGAGGUAGCUUGACGGUACUGUGAGAAUAAGGAUCGGCUAACUCCGUGCCAGCAGCCGCGGUAAUACGGAGGAUCCAAGCGUUAUCCGGAAUCAUUGGGUUUAAAGGGUCCGUAGGCGGGUUCGUAAGUCAGUGGUGAAAGCCCAUCGCUCAACGAUGGAACGGCCAUUGAUACUGCGAGUCUUGAAUUACUUGGAAGUAACUAGAAUAUGUAGUGUAGCGGUGAAAUGCUUAGAGAUUACAUGGAAUACCAAUUGCGAAGGCAGGUUACUACAAGUGGAUUGACGCUGAUGGACGAAAGCGUGGGUAGCGAACAGGAUUAGAUACCCUGGUAGUCCACGCCGUAAACGAUGGAUACUAGCUGUUGGGCGCAAGUUCAGUGGCUAAGCGAAAGUGAUAAGUAUCCCACCUGGGGAGUACGUUCGCAAGAAUGAAACUCAAAGGAAUUGACGGGGGCCCGCACAAGCGGUGGAGCAUGUGGUUUAAUUCGAUGAUACGCAAGGAACCUUACCAGGCUUAAAUGUAGUUUGACAGGACUGGAAACAGUUUUUUC